rnacentral:lncRNA from 1 species
UGUUUGGCUUUGCAUCUGGCACAAAUGGCGGCAGCGGCGGCGCAUCUGCUGCCUGUUCUUCUCUGGAGGCGGCCGCUCCAUGCCUCCACCUCGCUAGCUCGAGCUUGUCCCGUGCUCGUCUUUGCCGGCGGCGGACCCUCGACGGUGGACUCUCAUCUCCUUGCGGCUCAACGGCUUCACCCCAGUGACGUCCGCGGGGGCCGGCGGCCAGCGCUGCGCUCUACUGCUCCGUGCCUCCAGUAGUCCAGUCCUUCACUACCUCGUCCUCGUCGUCAUCCUAUCCGACUUCUCCCUGCUCGGCGCUCGACAAGACCACAAGGAAUCUGCCCGCGAUUCUCCCUGCCUGCCUGACAUGGCUAUCGGUUGGUAACUCAGCACCCAAGGUUCCAGAUUACAAUGAUUCAAGUUGUGCAAUGAUUAGACUUCAGACUUCACGAAUCUAGAGACUCAAAAUUGUUCGCAACUCUAUAGGCUAUUGAGUAGUAUACUGAAUGGAUAGAGCACACUUGCAGUACCACUGCGUGAGAGCUCAAUAGUCAAUAGGCUAUUAUUCAGUGAAUACGUGCAAUUUCCAGUAGAUGGGCUAGUCCUAAUAAUUUAAUAAAUUGUUAUUUGAAUUUGUGGUUCGUUUGCUGAACACUUGAACUUGGAAUGCAACUACUAUAGUUAUAUAUUGUGUCAUUUAUGAGCUAUAUAAUAUAAUAUGUAUAGCUAAUCAUCAAUGGUAUAUUGGACCGGUUCAAAUUAUUUGUGCCGGUUCACUUCAACGGUCCAAAGUUAUUGGAGCGGUGGUUCAAUCGUUUCCUAACGGUUGAACCAAUGAACUAUUAAACCGACACCCUUAUCGGUUCGAUUACCGGUCCGAUCCUAAUAACUAUACUGAGGAGACAAGUCACGAGUAUAGGUGGAGGGGAAAAAAUCUGACGUACUGCUGCCUGGGGUCUCGGCCUCUCGGGAAGGUAGGGGUGUGGGUGAGUAGGAUAGGAGAGCUGAUGGG